rnacentral:misc_RNA from 1 species
AAGUCGUAACAAGGUUUCCGUAGGUGAACCUGCGGAAGGAUCAUUAAUGAAAUGAUAAUUUUUUGGGGUUUUCCCUGAAAAAUAAUUCACCUUUUGUGCACUGUUAAAAGAUAUACUUUGGUUAGAGCUUUGAUUUUCAUUUUUUUGAAAUCAACUUCUUGCUGACUCUAUCCUAUUAUAUGGGACAGUUGGCUAUGAAGCGGCCUACCAAGGUUUUUUAUCAAACACAUUUAAUUUAUCUGACCUAAACUACUAUAAUAAAAUCAUAACUUUCAACAACGGAUCUCUUGGCUCUC